UGAGGGACUCAUACAGUUAUUACUCAAGUGAGGCCCAGGUCAUAAUGUAUUUUUACCACAAUACCCUUAUAUAGUACACACUCUGGAGGUACAUGAUGGGCUUCAUCUCUCCGCAAAAGGGUCUCUUUUUUUACAGGUUGGCUGACCUCCUACUUUGGGCUUAAACUAAAUACGACGGGGGACGGAGAGGCAGGAGAUGGAGAGAGUCUAGAACCUACAAACUGCGAAACCUACAGCAGUACACCCCAGGCAACCAGGGAGCCUGUGACUAGGGAGCCAGCAAACAGGGACUGCCAACAGGAGCAGUUUGCAGGCAGCUGCUGGAGGCAAGAGGAGGGAGAAAGGAGAAGAGAAGCCAGGCCAGGCACUAGAUCCUGUCCAGGAAAGGCAUUGUUCCAGAAAAUGAGAAAACAAGCAAUGGUGGCAGCAGCAGACAUUUCUCAUGCAUGUUUAUCCAAGGGGUCACCAUGGAGCUGGAGGGAAAAAUUCAGCCAUGUAUUUAUGGAGGGCUUGCAGCAAUUUCAGCAUCCAGCUGUUCCAGCUUCUGCAUCACAUUUGAGACCUAACACCUGGUACCAGCUGAGCUUGAUCCUGGAAAGUUUUUUAUAACGCUCAUCAUCACCACAGCAUUUCAGCCUCAGGUCCAUCAUGAACAGCCUGUGAGGGUUAUGUCUUAAGCACUUCCCAGGUAAAUUAGUCAUAGGCAAUCGUCAAUCCCCUGGAUCAUGAUGUAUAUGUAAGAGGUCUAGUCAGCUGCCUGAUGAAUCUGCUUGUAUGGAGUGCUGCAACCAUCACACUGUUGUCCCCAAAGGACAGUGAGUUUGCGCUUGUGCCAAUAAACACA